UUUAGGGAGCAGCAGCCCAAAGAUGGGGCUGAGAGAGCUGGUGACACCACAGUGCCCAGGGUCUGUAUGUUGGAUCUUUACUUUGAAGAGGAAAACAUUUUUAGAUGGCCUCAUUAUUUUACCAUCCAAGCAAAAAGCCUGAACCUGUGGUGCAGCUGAGAUUUGCAAAGCCUGUGACACUCCUCUACUCAUGCAGCAGAAAGAAGUAACAGGAGCAUUCCUUGGGAGGCAAGAAUGAAUGCAGGCAGUGUCAGGAAGGAUUCUCCUGGUUAGAAUAGAUGUGGUAGCUUUUAAAUAAUUGGGACAAAGCCCAAUUAUUUAAAAUUGGGUAAUAUUUGAGUAAUAUUUUUCCAAGGAGUUUGAGAUUGCCUCCAGUGUGUGUAGUGUUAUGAAAUGUUAGAGACUGUAGGAGAACUGUUUUGUCAUUUUUCUUAAUGUCAAGCAUGAUUUACAGUAAAGUUCAAAAAGUAACGUAUUGACAUGUAUAUUUUAAGUCAUGGUGUUACAAAAGCUCUCUUGCCAGAUUCUGGUUAAGUCUUCAAGGCUUCCUGCUUGCAGUAAGAAGCGGAUUUUUUUCCAAUUUUAUUAUACUUGGAUGCAAAACAUGUUGUUUUGUUACAUUUACAGCUUCCUGGAGUUACAAAACAAACAUUUAAAAAACUACAUUUGUCAGAGAGCUGCUAUCAGAACUGUGCAUUAAUAAGUAUCUAAAUUACAGCUCUUGCCAUGUAGAACAAAUUAGAUUUCUUUUCAUUAAUACCAAGGAAGCAGAAAACAAGCUGAAUCCCAAGUGAAUUAAAUGAACACCAUCAUUUGCCAUUUCUUUUUCUACUACAAACCAGUCUUUAUUCAAUUAAACAACUCCUAAUCAUGUACCCGCUAUUCCAGUGGAGCUCAAAAGUGCUGGUGUCAAAAUUAAGUAGUUUCCUUAUAUAUUGUAUACAGGACUUUGAGCUCUAGUUACCCUAUUCGUGGCAAGGGUUCUGGUGCUUUGUUUUAAGCUAAACAAACUGCUGGGGGCUCUGCAGAGUUUUUCUCCUACAUAGGUAUUUGAAAUGCUGUGGUAAAAAACUUUAAAACAUGAAUGUUUCUAUGUUUUGUCAAACUUGAUACCAGUCCUAGAUUAGGCUGCUAGGAAAUGAAUUCU